rnacentral:rRNA from 1 species
UACGGAGGGUGCGAGCGUUAAUCGGAAUUACUGGGCGUAAAGCGCGCGUAGGCGGUUUGUUAAGUCAGCUGUGAAAGCCCUGGGCUCAACCUGGGAAUGGCAGUUGAUACUGGCGAGCUUGAGUGUGGUAGAGGGGUGUGGAAUUUCCGGUGUAGCAGUGAAAUGCGUAGAGAUCGGAAGGAACACCAGUGGCGAAGGCGGCACCCUGGACCAACACUGACGCUGAGGUGCGAAAGCGUGGGGAGCAAACAGG